GAAUUUCUAGAACAGGAAUGACAAGAAUUAGAUGAUCCAGAACAGAAGGUUCAUGUAAGGGGCUGAAUCAUAUGAAACUGCCAGCCUUCAACCAUUUUUGAUUCACAUCAAUGUCAAUGUUACAUAGUUCAACCUAAUAUAAGCAAUGCUGGAAUGAAUUACCUUAUAUAUUUGCAAUUUUGCACAGAGGAAUCAGGAACCAGGGCUGAUGCAUGACAUCUUGUAUAUAUAAACCUUUAAAAUCUAUCUGCAGAGGACAUUUGAGACUAAAAUAGAGUUCCUAAGAAAUACUGCGACACAGUUUUUGCUCCUUUCUUCCACUGCCUGUUGCGGGAAGUCAGGGACCCCAAACGGAGGGACCGGCUGAAGCCAUGACAGAAGAAGGUGGAUUGUGAAGAUUUCAUGGACAUUUAUUAGUUCCCCCAAUUAAUACUUUUGUAAUUUCUUAUGCCUGUCUUUACUGCAAUCUCUAAACAUAAAUUGUGAAGAUUUCACGGACACUUAUCACUUCCCCAAUCAAUACCACUGUGAUUUCCUAUGCCUGUCUUUACUUUAAUCUCUUAAUCCUGUCAGCUGAGGAGGAUGUAUGUUGUCUCAGGACCCUGUGAUAAUUGCGUUAACUGCACAAAUUGUAGAGCAUGUGUGUUUGAACAAUAUGAAAUCUGGGCACCUUGAAAAACGAACAGGAUAACAGCAAUGUUUAGGGAACAAAUUCCAACCGCCGGUGAGCCGGGUGGAACAGAGCCAUAUUUCUCUUCUUUCAAAAGCAAAUGGGAGAAAUAUUGCUGAAUUCUUUUUCUCAGCAAGGAACAUCCCUGAGAAAGAGAAUACGCCCCUGAGUGUGGGUCUCUAAAAUGGCCCCCUUGGGUGUGGCCGUUUUCUAUGGUCGAAACUGUAGGGAUGAAAUAAACCCCAGUCUCCCAUAGCGCUCCCAGGCUUAUUAGGAAGAGGAAAUUCCCACCUAAUAAAUUUUGGUCAGACCGGUUGCUCUCAAACCCUGUCUCCUGAUAAGAUGUUAUCAAUGACAAUGGUGCCCGAAACUUCAUUUGCAAUUUUAAUUUCGCCCCAGUCCUGUGGUCCUGUGAUCUCGCCCUGCCUCCAUUUGCCUUGUGAUAUUCUAUUACCUUGUGAAGUACGUGAUCUCUGUGAACCACACCUAUUUGUACACUCCCUCCCCUUUUGAAAAUCCCUAAUAAAAUCUUGCUUGUUUUGCGGCUUGUGGGGCAUCACGGAACCUACCGACAUGUGUUGUCUCCCCCGGACACCCAGCUUUAAAAUUUCUCUCUUUUGUACUCUGUCCCUUUAUUUCUCAACCCAGCUGAUGCUUAGGGAAAAUAGAAAAGAACCUACGUGACUAUCAGGGCAGGUUCCCUGAUAACUGUCCAAUCUCUCCACCUCACCACUUACCUCACCUCUACCCUCUACCCACCACCUCAAAUGGAAGAGCCAUGGGAUAAUCUGAUUAGAGCAUUAGGAAGAGGGACUGAGCAUGGAUGGAUAGCACAGUCUCUCAUAGAGCCUGCCUUCCUGUAUCCAAGAGAAAACUGUUCCUGGCAGAAAGACCAGCAAGGAUAGUCUCUGAAAUGGGAGGAAGCUGAAAGAUUUGAGAAACAAUCGGGAGGCCAGCAUGGCUGCAGCAAAAACCAACGGGACAUGAGUAGGCACUGAAGUCAGCAAAUGAAUGCUUUGUCUCUGCAGAUUGAAUGGACUUUGGCUUUCCACACCCCAACCCCCACCACCACCCAGCGACUUGGAACACCAUCACAGUUUUUUUUUAAUUAUUUUUAAUUGAAAAUAAUUGUAAAUAUUUAUCUUAUAAAACAUAAUAUUUUGAAAGAUGCAUGCAUAGUGAAUGGGCUUAACUGUGCUAAUUAACAUAUACAUUAUUUAACAUAUUUAUUUUUUGUGAUGAAAAUAUUUAAAAUCUACUCCUUUGGCAAUUUUCAGGAAUACAGUACAUUUUUGUUUAUUGUAGUUAUCAUGUUGUCCAAUAGAUCACUUGAACAUUUCCCCUCCUAUCUAACUGAAAUUUUUUGUUCUUUGACCAAAGACUCCCACCCCACUCCAGCCUCUGGUAACCACCAUUUUACUGUCUGCUUCUGUGAGUUGAACUUUUUCAGAUACCACAUAUAAGUAAUGUCAGCCAUCACGAUUUUGAGGAGGGGAGCGACAGGGUGAGAUUUACACCUCACCAAGCUCACUCUGGUUGCUAGAUUGGGCUUAGUAUUACAAGUCAGAGGUAAUGAAAGAUUCACCCAGGUGAAGGUAAAGAGAUAAGGAGAUAAGAGACAAGAAGUGGUCAAAUUCUGUAUAUAGAAAUAAAAGGGAGAGUUUUCAGAAUUUUCUAUGUUUUGAAAGUAGGUCCCUUUUACCUUUCUCUUGCUUCCAGAUUGUAUCACAGACCAUUAGGUUAAACAAAUUAUCCAUUCACAUUCAAAGAUAAUGCAAAGGCAACAUUCAGGAUUCCAGAUAUUUUUCACUUUUUUUCUGCAGUCACUGAGGUUUUAUGUGACUAGUCUUAUGUAUUAGUUGGUUCCAUCACCCCACUUCCCCUCCCACCCACCCCCAUCCACACACAGCACAACAAUGAAAAAAAAAAUCUGUUUGCCAGCAUAGAACUGUGAAGCAGUAACUCACAUCUAAUAACCAUGGAAGCCUAAUGACACCAAAAAGGUCUGAAGGGGAUCCUCAAAGGAUUGCAAAUUGGUAUGAACAUGUAUUUCCCAGUAGGAACGUCAUGUUAUUUAGUUUUACAUACAAUUAUCUGCAUUUCUCAGUGUUAAAGACUUUGAAAUAUAAAAUAAAUCAUGGCUCAAAUGUAUAGGCCUGUAUUAGAUCUCAAAGGAUAUAAAACUUCUACUAUAAACGUGGUAGAAAUGUUAUCUUGUAUCUACCUCUGUCCACCCUUCUACCUCCUAAAUUACAGUGAGCAAUUGGAUCUGCCAGGGGUAAGAAACGAAAGCAUUUGUGCUUGAAGGGUUCUGGUUGCCUAAGACAGACAAGACAUGAGUAGGCUUUCAGUACUGCAUAUUUCUGUGGCUUCCCAUGACAAUCUGUAGAGCAAACAACAACUAUGACACUACAGUGUUCUGGAAAUUGGUUAGAUUAGAGAAAAAACAAAACUCUUUAGGUUUCAAAUUAAUUACCUACAUAUAUUCUGUGCAUCCCAUUUUUCAGAUGAAAAGAGGUAGAGGAUAAAUAAUCUACCCUGGAUCACACGGUCAGUUUGUAACAGUAAGAAUCCUUAAUUCCUGUUUUUUUUUUUCUUCCUCACAAUUGAAUACUGUUUUCACGAUGACAUAAUGUACAGCCUUAACCAGAGGAAAGGAUUUCAAUACUAUAUGUGCUUCUGUGUUUAAUAGUCUAUAGUAUAAUAUAGAAUUAUGCCAUUUUGAAAUGGCUUUGGUGUAUCACCACACCGUUCUUUUAUAUAAAAUUAAAUGAAAUACUGGUAAAUUAAAGAGGUAUUAGGUUGGUGCAAAAGUAACCGCAGUUUUUUUUUUUUUUUGCCAUACUUUUAAUGGCAAAAACCACAAUUACUUUUGCACCAACAUAAUAGUACAGCAGUGUUUAAGAGUAUGACAUUUACAUUUAAAUCUCAGAAGCUUACUUACUGCAUACAUGACAUUGGUCUAGUUAUUUCAACUCUGUAUGUUUUAAGUUGUUUUUCUUCUAUAAAACAGAGAAAUUAAUGGCAUUUACGUCACAUUUGGCUAUGAGGAUGAACUAAAUAAAAACAUGUAAAUCAUUUAAUAUAGUCUCUGUGCAUAGAAUGCAUUAAAUAAUGUUAAUAAUAUUAUUAUGAAGUUCAUUCUACUGAGCUGACAAUGAGAAACACCCUUUAUUACAUUAAUAUUAGUUUUAUUCUACACAUAGAUAUUUUGUGUUGAAGAAAAGCAACUUUUAAAGUCAGAAAAUAAGGCAAUACAUGGCAAAAUGCUUAGAAGCUAAUGUGUGUCCUAGAGGUGUUGAGGUUUGUUGUAUUAUAAAUAAUACUGUUCACAUUAUCCCUCCUG
rnacentral:lncRNA from 1 species